rnacentral:other from 1 species
AUAGUCCUGCUGUGUGCGUGUUUAUGGCAAAUGUUAUGAGCCAACAGAUUGUUAGAAGGGAAUCCGGUCUCUGGAUAUGGAAUGAUAUCCCAAAUUUUGGGAAACGUGAAGUAUUCAGGAGGAUACCCACCUGCGGGAGCAGGUUCUAACAAACCAUAUCACGGCAUGGUGGGAUUUUG